UGGGGAAUAUUGCACAAUGGGCGAAAGCCUGAUGCAGCAACGCCGCGUGAGUGAUGAAGGCCUUCGGGUUGUAAAGCUCUGUCUUCUGGGACGAUAAUGACGGUACCAGAGGAGGAAGCCACGGCUAACUACGUGCCAGCAGCCGCGGUAAUACGUAGGUGGCAAGUGUUGUCCGGAUUUACUGGGCGUAAAGGAUGCGUAGGCGGAUACUUAAGUCAGAUGUGAAAAUCCCGGGCUUAACUUGGGAACUGCAUUUGAAACUGGGUAUCUAGAGUGCGGGAGAGGAGAGUGGAAUUCCUAGUGUAGCGGUGAAAUGCGUAGAGAUUAGGAAGAACACCAGUGGCGAAGGCGACUUUCUGGACCGUAACUGACGCUGAGGCAUGAAAGCGUGGGGAGCAAACA
rnacentral:rRNA from 1 species